GAGAGGUGACGCCGGGAGGUCCUGGCUGAGAGCGCCGGCUGCCAGCUGGAGACAUGGCAUCUAACUACCAUACAAGUUCAGACCAAUGGAAGAAAAAAGCCCUAAAAAUUGAACUGAAUGAAUCCCAAAAGCAAGACGUUAAAGACGCCUUUAAUUUGUUUGAUAUUGAUGGGUCUGGAACCAUCGAGUAAAAGAAGGAAAUGCUUGAUGAAGCUGAUCAUGAUGGAGAUGGAGAAAUAAAUGAGGAAGAUUUUUUGAGAGUGAUGAAAAAGACUACUUGUUAUUAAUAGCGUUGUUUUGGUCCUUGUGGAAAAUUAACAGAUUUGUAUUUGUUAUACAGUUUUAUAAUUUAAUAUCUGAAUAUAUUCAUUUUCAGUUUUUAGUUUAUAUGUACACAUUGGCUUCUUGAUGUCUAAUCCAUGUAAGAAGUUACACAUCUCUACCAAUAUGAUGUUAAAUCUACAGCAUCAAGAAACAAAACAUAAUGACUUCUUUGAGCCAUUAAUCUAAGAACAGUAUUAAUUCUAGCUGCUCUUUUGAGAACCCUAGGUCACAAAGACUUGGAAUUUUUAAGUUUGAUGAGGUUGGCUUCACAUCCAAAUGAAUUUGGCAAACAAACCCUAUAUUUUCCUUUUGUGCAACCCAAAAAAACCUGAUGAACAUUUGCUUUUUAGUCAGUUACUCAAAUACAUAAAGUAUUAAAUAGAACUGUCUGGUAACAUUAUUUGCUAAUUUUCUUCUUUCAGUUAUAAAGAAAAUUCAAAAUAGCACUUACAUCACCCAUAUUUCCCUGUAAGUUUGACCCUAUAGUGAGCACUUAAUACCUCUGUGCUAGGACAGGUGGUGUAGAGUUUUAUUUUUUUUAAAUUUUAUUUAUAUGUUUUUUGAGACAAAGUCUCCCUCUGUCACGCAGGCUGGAGUGCAGUGGUGCGAUCUCGGCUCAAUGCAACCUCUGCCUCCUGGGCUCAAGAGAUUCUCCUGCCUCAGCCUGCCGAGUAGCUGGGACUACAGGCACCUGCCACCAUGCCUGUAAUUUUUUGCAUUUUUGGUAGAGACAGAGUUUCACUGUGUUAGCCAUGAUGGUCUCGAUCUCCUGACCUCAUGAUCUGCCUACCUCAGCCUCCCAAACUGCUGGGAUUACAGGGGUGAGCCACUGCGCCUGGCCGAGAUUUUAUGUGUUACCUCAGUAAACAUAUUACAAGUUGGAAGCUGAUUGUAUUAGCUCAAUUUUACAUACAAGAAAACUAAA
rnacentral:sRNA from 1 species